rnacentral:pre_miRNA from 1 species
GCGUGAGUCGUUGUUUGCUGGCGUGGCAUCAUCAAGAUUCACAUGCAAAGCUUCAUUUUGAGAAAUGGACUGUUGAGAAUCUUGAUGAUGCUGCAUCGGCAAUCGAGGACUACAUAC